AGGGCCCUAGAAGAGAUUAAGAGAAGAGAAAGUAGCAAGGCCUCUACCUAGAAAUCAUUUUCGUUAAAUGGUUGUCUGAACAAAGUCCUCCCUCCCCCAAAUCCUGGAACCUGGAAGCCUCACCUGCAACUGGAAGCAUGUUGAUCAGGAACUGAGACACAGCCAUUUCUAUCAGACCAUGUACCUGAGAAUGCUUUUCUUGGAGUCCAUCCCAAGCAGAGGAAACUGGACAGAAAGUAGGACAAUCUCAGGAGGAUCCACCUUGGGAGGUGGCAGGGACCAGCCUCUACUGGAGCAGAGGUCCCCCUCAGCCCCUGAGAGAUGCUACUGAGCUGGUGAUGGUGGGGUCACCAAAGGGGGUAAAAUCAGAAAAGAAAUGGACUUAGCCGGGCACACAGUCUGCUCCUGGAACAACGACGCAUCCCCUCACAUUUCUUUGAGCCCAGGAUCAUGAAUCGCCAAAGCAUGAAGCCUGGAAGGAAACUUCAGACUCACCUGAUAUUUUAGAGGUUUCCUUUUUUAUUGUGGUAUAACACGCAUACUGUAAAAUUUACCAUUUCCACCAUU